GGAGGGCUACGUGCUACUCCAGAACAGGCGCACCUGCUCAGAGCAGAGCCUCUAGCCUCCCUCCGCUCCGCCCGCAGAGCCCGCUGGCUGCAGCUCUGUGCCCGGCGAGACUGCGGCUGCCUGCAGCCCCCAUUCACCCCCACGGAGCUAACAAUAAACCUGGUCCACCUCCA